ACAUGCAAGUCGAGCGGUAGAGAGAAGCUUGCUUCUCUUGAGAGCGGCGGACGGGUGAGUAAUGCCUAGGAAUCUGCCUGGUAGUGGGGGAUAACGUUCGGAAACGGACGCUAAUACCGCAUACGUCCUACGGGAGAAAGCAGGGGACCUUCGGGCCUUGCGCUAUCAGAUGAGCCUAGGUCGGAUUAGCUAGUUGGUGAGGUAAUGGCUCACCAAGGCGACGAUCCGUAACUGUCUGAGAGGAUGAUCAGUCACACUGGAACUGAGACACGGUCCAGACUCCUACGGGAGGCAGCAGUGGGGAAUAUUGGACAAUGGGCGAAAGCCUGAUCCAGCCAUGCCGCGUGUGUGAAGAAGGUCUUCGGAUUGUAAAGCACUUUAAGUUGGGAGGAAGGGCAGUAACCUAAUACGUUGCUGUUUUGACGUUACCGACAGAAUAAGCACCGGCUAACUCUGUGCCAGCAGCCGCGGUAAUACAGAGGGUGCAACGUUAAUCGGAAUUACUGGGCGUAAAGCGCGCGUAGGUGGUUCGUUAAGUUGGAUGUGAAAUCCCCGGGCUCAACCUGGGAACUGCAUUCAAAACUGACGAGCUAGAGUAUGGUAGAGGGUGGUGGAAUUUCCUGUGUAGCGGUGAAAUGCGUAGAUAUAGGAAGGAACACCAGUGGCGAAGGCGACCACCUGGGACUGAUACUGACACUGAAGUGCGAAAG
rnacentral:rRNA from 1 species